GACGAACGCUGGCGGCGUGCUUAACACAUGCAAGUCGAGCGGAGCGGCGAACGGGUGAGUAACGCGUGAGUAACUGCACCCCUGCCUGGGAUAACAGUUGGCAACGGGUGCUAAUAACGGAUAGUGGGGGAUGACUCGCGUCCAAUCAGCUUGUUGGUGGGGUAGUGGCCGACCAAGGCGACGACGGGUAGCCGGCCUGAGAGGGCGACCGGCCACAGUGGGCUGAGAUACGGCCCAAACUCCUACGGGAGGCAGCAGGGGGGAAUAUUGCACAAUGGGGGAAACCCUGAUGCAGCAACGCCGCGUGCGGAAUGACGGCCUUCGGGUUGUAAACCGCUUUCAGCCAUGACGCGGUAGUGGCAGAAGAAGCACCGGCUAACUACGUGCCAGCAGCCGCGGUAAUAC
rnacentral:rRNA from 1 species